GGGAAAGCGGAGCAGAGGCAGCACGCAGGGGACUGGACGCCACUGGAAACUGUUAAGGCUGGGGGCAUUCUUUGGAAGGGUGUCGUGUGAGAUGCAAAGUGAUCCGUUUGAAUUAGGCACAAUUAUUUAACUUAUUAGUGAAUCCCACAGUGAGGUGAGGAGAAGCGCAUAGCAAACUUUAACUGAAAGUGCAGUUUAAGUCCCUAAUUCAGAUCUAGAGCCCACGUGUCUAACUGUCAGUGUCACCGGCCGGCCCUAACGAGCCCCACCGGCGCUAACGAGGCAACGACUCCCAGGUGCCGCGGGGCCGCGGCCGCUCGGGCACAGCUGCGCCUCGUCCGCAGCGCGGGGCGGGUCCGCCCCAAAGCCUCUUAAGCUCCGUCGGAGGCCGUCGGGAGCCACGAAGGAGCUUCCCGGGCUGCGGUGGGAUGUCUCUCGGUAAAGAUCAGCGCGAACCGGCUGAGCGAAAGCUGCGGCGGAGCCUGUCGUCAUCCCGAAGCGGUGAGAUGGUGGAAGCGAGACGUGGUGGGACAGCUUGCACGACUGGAAUGCUGUUGUGGAUGGCUGUGCUCCUUAUAAGUGAGACAGACGGGUGAAGCGGUGGAGUUGCUCUUCCAGCGAGGGAACUGGAUCGCAUUGAACCUCGCCUCCCUCCUCGGCAAGGGCGAAUGCCGCAACAGAGCAUUUAACAGUGAGGAUCUACUUGAGUAUGGGAGUGGUUUCAUCUUCAGUGGGAUGAAGGAGAAGCUGUUCGUGGAGCUCUGCCCGCAGGUUCAGGGCUGGAGGGGGGAUCCUGCUGUGAGAGUCUAUGGAGUGAGCUUUAAAGGUCUGUGGCAGGCCUGCUCCUGGAGGAGUGGAAUUGCCUGAGUGAGAGGUCCUGGUACAGCCAGUGUCUUGAGAGGAAAGUCCUUAUCCCUAGGCUGGGAGCUGUACUGCACAUGUGGAAGAAACAGAGAUCACCCAGGGAAGUUCCAAAUGUUAUCAGGAGAUACAGGAUACGUAAGCUCUCCACUUAAUAGUGGAGAGGUGAGAAAACAGUGUCUUGAGAGGAAGGUCCUCGGGCUGGGAGCUGUGCUGCGCAUGUGGAAGAAGCAGGGGAGAGUUCUUCCCCC